AUUGAACGCUGGCGGCAGGCCUAACACAUGCAAGUCGAACGAGUGGCGGACGGGUGAGUAAUGUCGGGGAAACUGCCCGAUGGAGGGGGAUAAGUACUGGAAACGGUAGCUAAUACCGCAUACAAUAGGAUAUGCGCAGAUGGGAUUAGCUAGGAGGUGGGGUAACGGCUCACCUAGUCGACGAUCCCUAGCUGGUCUGAGAGGAUGACCAGCCACACUGGAACUGAGACACGGUCCAGACUCCUACGUGAGGCAGCAGUGGGGAAUAUUCCACAAUGGGCGCAAGCCUGAUGCAGCCAUGCCGCGUGUAUGAAGAAGGCCUUCGGGUUGUAAAGUACUUUCAGCGAGGAGGCGGUACUCGCAGAAUAAGCACCGGCUAACUCCGUGCCAGCAGCCGCGGUAAUUC
rnacentral:rRNA from 1 species